AUGGCCGACAUGGGUCAAACUGUACUAUCUCUUCUUAUCAGCCUAAUGUCUGAUACGGGUUGUAUUUGGACCCAAGCUAUUAAACUUAUUUUUGCAAGUUGGUAGACUGCUUGAAGCUUGCUUCACCUCUGCAGCGGGUUGGUCCUGUACUGCACUAUCUUCCGAAUGUUUGGUCCACGCACA